GAGGGGAGGUGCAGCUGCUACUUUUGGAAUCUCGGGUCAAUGAAAAUACAUGUGCUAGACCCUUUAAUGAUGAGGUGUUCUCCUACAAGCGUUCAGCGCCGCCAUGGUCAAAAUGUAACUAUUAUCAAUGAAGCUAUUUCAAGGUGCAAAGAUACAUUCUUUCAGGGCUGGUCAGUAAACAUGAAUGGAUGAGAUAGAUGCUUCACUGUUGGUCUUGGAACCAGUUGCCACAGAAAUAACUCUGGAUUGUUUGCUGCGCACUACGCUCGUGCUUUUGAUGGUCACCAACUUCUAUGGGAACUAAAGACGCCUGAGCAUGCUCUAAAUCGUGCGGAGAUGUUGUACCAACUUCUGUCCAUGGCUGGGAAUUCUGGAGACAUACCGGAAUUGUUGAUUGACCUCCUUGAAAUUUGAAGUUGAUGUCUCAGCGUUGUCACCACUUUUGAGUAGACAGAAAAUAGUGCCUACUUGUUUGUUUUGUUUAUGCUUGGAAUCAAUUGGCAGUGUUUGCCUACUGUUUCCACCAGAAUUGAAGUCACCUUUAGAAUGGUGUGGUUUAUCGAACACUGUAUAAGUGUCGUGAAGUGUUCUUGAACAAUUGUACUGUUCCGAAUAUUGAAACAUUUCCUACCCAAUUUCGAAACCGUAUGGUCAGCUUUGUUUCA